rnacentral:pre_miRNA from 1 species
AAUAAGACCAUUUUUCAGUUUUUUAUUCAAUGUUUUGACUCUUCGUCUUAUUUGAUUUUUUUUACGAUUAAUAUUUUUAUUCUUAUUAAAUAAUAAAAUAUAAAUAGUACUUUAUAUGAGACUAAUUUUUUUAAGCUUUUGUAUAAAUUUUUUAAAUAAGACAAAUGGUUAAAAGUUAGAAACGGAAAAAC